CGACUCUCGGCAACGGAUAUCUCGGCUCACGCAUCGAUGAAGAACGUAGCAAAAUGCGAUACUUGGUGUGAAUUGCAGAAUCCCGUGAACCAUCGAGUUUUUGAACGCAAGUUGCGCCCAAAGCCAUUCGGUUGAGGGCACGUCUGCCUGGGCGUCACG
rnacentral:rRNA from 2 species